rnacentral:rRNA from 1 species
UGAGUGAUGAAGGUUUUCGGAUCGUAAAGCUCUGUUGUUAGGGAAGAACAAGUGCCGUUCGAAUAGGGCGGCACCUUGACGGUACCUAACCAGAAAGCCCCGGCUAACUACGUGCCAGCAGCCGCGGUAAUACGUAGGGGGCAAGCGUUGUCCGGAAUUAUUGGGCGUAAAGCGCGCGCAGGCGGUCCUUUAAGUCUGAUGUGAAAGCCCACGGCUCAACCGUGGAGGGUCAUUGGAAACUGGAGGACUUGAGUACAGAAGAGGAGAGUGGAAUUCCACGUGUAGCGGUGAAAUGCGUAGAGAUGUGGAGGAACACCAGUGGCGAAGGCGACUCUCUGGUCUGUAACUGACGCUGAGGCGCGAAAGCGUGGGGAGCGAACAGGAUUAGAUACCCUGGUAGUCCACGCCGUAAACGAUGAGUGCUAGGUGUUAGGGGGUUUCCGCCCCUUAGUGCUGAAGUUAACGCAUUAAGCACUCCGCCUGGGGAGUACGGCCGCAAGGCUGAAACUCAAAAGAAUUGACGGGGGCCCGCACAAGCGGUGGAGCAUGUGGUUUAAUUCGACGCAACGCGAAGAACCUUACCAGGUCUUGACAUCCUCUGCAAUCGGUAGAGAUACCGAGUUCCCUUCGGGGACAGAGUGACAGGUGGUGCAUGGUUGUCGUCAGCUCGUGUCGUGAGAUGUUGGGUUAAGUCCCGCAACGAGCGCAACCCUUGAUCUUAGUUGCCAGCAUUUAGUUGGGCACUCUAAGGUGACUGCCG